rnacentral:rRNA from 1 species
GUCUACGGCCAUGCUACCCUGAACAAGCCCGAUCCCGUCUGAUCUUGGAAGCUGAGCAGGGUUGGGCCUGGUUAGUACUUGGAUGGGAGACCACCUAGGAAGACCAGGUGCUGCAGGCA